AGGACAGCUCCGUCGUGGGCACGUUUACCUUUCGAAGCCUUGAAUCUUUCAGUCUGCUUGAUGCAGGCGACACCAGUCUGUUGCUGAAACCUCUCAAUGUCGAAGAUCAGCAGCCGCGAGAGUCCCUCGUCUUGCGGUUCACAGAUCAAACGCUGGUGGCCUAUUUGAUCCGUUGCGGGGCUCUCCUUCAGCGGACUCGAGCCCCGAUGCGCGUCCCUCGUAGGUUAAAAUAUGACCGGCGUCACCUUGAAAUAGGGGACACGUUUGCGUUCCGUAGGUGAACCUGCGGAAGGAUCAUUAUCGAGAUGGGGUCUUUCAGGCCCAACCUCCUACCCCGUGCGUACCUACCUGUGUUGCUUUGGCGGGCCCGUUAGAGGCAUCUCUCCGGUGGUCAUAGGCCAUCGAGUGCCCGCCAGAGACCCAUCAAACCCCGUAAAUUGUGACGUCUGAGUACCAAUACAAUCGUGAAAACUUUCAACAACGGAUCUCUUGGUUCUGGCAUCGAUGAAGAACGCAGCGAAAUGCGAUAAGUAAUGUGAAUUGCAGAAUUCAGUGAAUCAUCGAAUCUUUGAACGCACAUUGCGCCCCCCGGUAUUCCGGAGGGCAUGCCUGUUCGAGCGUCAUUACACCACUCAAGCUCGGCUUGGUAUUGGGCCUUCGUCCCCGCGGACGUGCCUGAAAAACAGCGGCGACGCAGCCCGGCUUCAAGCGGUGUUGGCAUACCCUUUCGCUUUGGAAGCCCGGGCAUGUGUCCGCCGGACAACCCCCGUAACCUUCAGGUUGACCUCGGAUCAGGUAGGGAUACCCGCUGAACUUAAGCAUAUCAAUAAGCGGAGGAAAAGAAACCAACAGGGAUUGCCUCAGUAACGGCGAGUGAAGCGGCAACAGCUCAAAUUUGAAAUCUGGCUCUCUUCGGGGGCCCGAGUUGUAAUUUGUAGAGGAUGCUUCGGGUACGGCUCCGGUCUAAGUUCCUUGGAACAGGACGUCCCAGAGGGUGAGAAUCCCGUACGUGACCGGCCGCCACGCCCGUGUGAAGCUCCUUCGACGAGUCGAGUUGUUUGGGAAUGCAGCUCAAAAUGGGUGGUAUAUUUCAUCUAAAGCUAAAUACCGGCCAGAGACCGAUAGCGCACAAGUAGAGUGAUCGAAAGAUGAAAAGCACUUUGAAAAGAGAGUCAAACAGUACGUGAAAUUGUUGAAAGGGAAGCGCUUGCAAUCAGACGUGGCCGCGGGCGAUCAACCGGUACUCGUACCGGUGCACUCGCCCGUGGUCAGGCCAGCAUCGGUUUGGGCGACUGGAUAAAGUCCCCCGGAAUGUGGCUCCUUUCGGGGAGUGUUAUAGCCGGGGGCGCCAUGCAGCCCGCCCGGACCGAGGACCGCGCUUGGCUAGGAU
rnacentral:sRNA from 1 species